rnacentral:sRNA from 19 species
GUCAAUAACCCCGCCGUAAACGGCGAGGCUUGGUAAAGCCUCAGAUUGACUAGCCUCAGUGCUUUGGGCACUCCGUUGGGAUCGUCACGACACCUUGGGAUACGCGUCCUAGUUCCAAGCCCUGUC